CAACUUUAAUUAUAUUUUUUCUUUUUUUGCUCUUCAGUAUGCCACGUUAUACUGUUUUACGUUUAGAUUAGAGCUCGAAUA